rnacentral:rRNA from 1 species
GAUGAACGCUGGCGGCGUGCCUAAUACAUGCAAGUCGAGCGAACAGACGAGGAGCUUGCUCCUCUGACGUUAGCGGCGGACGGGUGAGUAACACGUGGAUAACCUACCUAUAAGACUGGGAUAACUUCGGGAAACCGGAGCUAAUACCGGAUAAUAUAUUGAACCGCAUGGUUCAAUAGUGAAAGACGGUUUUGCUGUCACUUAUAGAUGGAUCCGCGCCGCAUUAGCUAGUUGGUAAGGUAACAGCUUACCAAGGCAACGAUGCGUAGCCGACCUGAGAGGGUGAUCGGCCACACUGGAACUGAGACACGGUCCAGACUCCUACGGGAGGCAGCAGUAGGGAAUCUUCCGCAAUGGGCGAAAGCCUGACGGAGCAACGCCGCGUGAGUGAUGAAGGUCUUCGGAUCGUAAAACUCUGUUAUUAGGGAAGAACAAAUGUGUAAGUAACUAUGCACGUCUUGACGGUACCUAAUCAGAGAGCCACGGCUAACUACGUG